rnacentral:rRNA from 1 species
AACGAACGCUGGCGGCAUGCCUAACACAUGCAAGUCGAACGAGACCUUCGGGUCUAGUGGCGCACGGGUGCGUAACGCGUGGGAACCUGCCCUUAGGUUCGGAAUAACUCCCCGAAAGGGGUGCUAAUACCGGAUAAUGUCUUCGGACCAAAGAUUUAUCGCCUUUGGAUGGGCCCGCGUUGGAUUAGCUAGUUGGUAGGGUAAAAGCCUACCAAGGCGACGAUCCAUAGCUGGUCUGAGAGGAUGAUCAGCCACACUGGGACUGAGACACGGCCCAGACUCCGACGGGAGGCAGCAGUGGGGAAGAUUGGACAAUGGGCGAAAGACUGAUCCAGAAAUGCCGCGUGAGUGAUGAAGGCCUUAGGGGUGUAAAGCUCUUUGACCAGGGAUGAUAAGGAAAGGACAGGGAGAAUAAGAGCCGGCUAACUCCGGG